ACUUUCAGAAGCUUUUAAAAGGAAAGGACCUUAGACUAGAAAUGAUGCCUUACUACAAGUGACAGCAUCUGGAAUCUGACACUAUGAAACUGGGGCCUAAAUUGCAAUGGUCAUCCCGCGUGGUAGAGAUACAGGGAAUACAGAACGCAUCCUAAGGAAAGCUGAACCCAGUGGAGCCAGCCCAAAGUGAUGCAGCGCCAUCCGGAUGCCACCUCCAUGAAGCCCGCAGGGUAUGUUUGCCACCAGCUAUGGGAAGCACGUGACUCGAGCUUCACUUUCACGGUUGCUCGCGGCUAAGACGUAGCUCUGAGUUUCAGAAGAGACUCUGGAUUUGGAUUUCUGAAUGGCGUUGGGACUGUGACCUCAAGAAGACCUGGAUACCGCGAAAAGACCGUGUUUUACCAGAUUCACUGCACCAUUCGAAAUCUUCUGAGAUCAUAAAUAGACAAAGAAUUACUCCCAGGCUCCUCCCACCAGUGGUGAAGAUGUUCUGAAUGCCUCUGCUUUCUUAUUUUCUCUCCCACCCCUAACAAGGACACUUUAUUGGUAGAACUGGGGAAUCCUCACCAUACAUAGUUUUUGUAGCUUUUUUGGAAGCAAUAUUAUGAUUAAGAAAAUAAAAAUUACAUGAAGAAUA
rnacentral:lncRNA from 1 species